rnacentral:rRNA from 1 species
AUGAACGCUAGCUACAGGCUUAACACAUGCAAGUCGAGGGGAAACGACAUCGAAAGCUUGCUUUUGAUGGGUGUCGACCGGCGCACGGGUGAGUAACGCGUAUCCAACCUGCCCACCACUUGGGGAUAACCUUGCGAAAGUAAGACUAAUACCCAAUGAUAUCUCUAGAAGGCAUCUGAAAGAGAUUAAAGAUUUAUCGGUGAUGGAUGGGGAUGCGUCUGAUUAGCUUGUUGGCGGGGUAACGGCCCACCAAGGCAACGAUCAGUAGGGGUUCUGAGAGGAAGGUCCCCCACAUUGGAACUGAGACACGGUCCAAACUCCUACGGGAGGCAGCAGUGAGGAAUAUUGGUCAAUGGGCGAGAGCCUGAACCAGCCAAGUAGCGUGCAGGAUGACGGCCCUAUGGGUUGUAAACUGCUUUUAUAAGGGAAUAAAGUGAGUCUCGUGAGACUUUUUGCAUGUACCUUAUGAAUAAGGACCGGCUAAUUCCGUGCCAGCAGCCGCGGUAAUACGGAAGGUCCGGGCGUUAUCCGGAUUUAUUGGGUUUAAAGGGAGCGUAGGCCGGAGAUUAAGCGUGUUGUGAAAUGUAGACGCUCAACGUCUGCACUGCAGCGCGAACUGGUUUCCUUGAGUACGCACAAAGUGGGCGGAAUUCGUGGUGUAGCGGUGAAAUGCUUAGAUAUCACGAAGAACUCCGAUUGCGAAGGCAGCUCACUGGAGCGCAACUGACGCUGAAGCUCGAAAGUGCGGGUAUCGAACAGGAUUAGAUACCCUGGUAGUCCGCACGGUAAACGAUGGAUGCCCGCUGUUGGUCUGAAUAGGUCAGCGGCCAAGCGAAAGCAUUAAGCAUCCCACCUGGGGAGUACGCCGGCAACGGUGAAACUCAAAGGAAUUGACGGGGGCCCGCACAAGCGGAGGAACAUGUGGUUUAAUUCGAUGAUACGCGAGGAACCUUACCCGGGCUCAAACGUCGGGCGAAUCAUCCUGAAAGGGGUGAGCCAGCAAUGGCGGCCGACGAGGUGCUGCAUGGUUGUCGUCAGCUCGUGUCGUGAGAUGUUGGGUUAAGUCCCGCAACGAGCGCAACCCUUAUCUUCAGUAGCCAUCAUUCAGUUGGGCACUCUGGAGAGACUGCCGUGGAUAACACGGAGGAAGGUGGGGAUGACGUCAAAUCAGCACGGCCCUUACGUCCGGGGCUACACACGUGUUACAAUGGCAGGUACAGAGAGACGGUCCCUUGCAAAAUGGAUCAAAUCCUUAAAGCCUGUCUCAGUUCGGACUGGGGUCUGCAACCCGACCCCACGAAGCUGGAUUCGCUAGUAAUCGCGCAUCAGCCAUGGCGCGGUGAAUACGUUCCCGGGCCUUGUACACACCGCCCGUCAAGCCAUGAAAGCCGGGGGCGCCUAAAGUCCGUGACCGUAAGGAGCGGCCUAGGGCGAAACUGGUAAUUGGGGCU